GGCUGAGUUCUGGAUGAACUCAGGUUUGGCCCCCGAAAGUAGUUUCGGCCGCCGAACCCUUGUGGAGGUGGUUUUGGCCGCCUAAACUUGCCCCCGAACGUUUGGACUUUCGGCUCUGAAAAGGACUUUCGGCCGCCGAAGGUGCCGCCGAAAGUGCCUGGCUUUCGUCUCUAGAGGAGACUUUCGGCAGCCGAAGGUGCCGCCGAACAUGCAUGAGUUUCGGCUCUGGAGGGAACAUUCGGCCGUCAAAUGUGCCACCGAAGGUGCCCUGUCCAGCCUUUCUUUGCAUGUUCUUCCAUGCAUGUUUGUGAUGUUUUAGGGGAGGUUUGGGGAGAUGUGUAGAGUUCUGUUAGAAUGGUUUGGUACCUCAUUUGAGUCCACCUGUGUAGGAUUGGACCCGAGGAACCGAGGAGGCCCCAGAGUUAGAGUUGGCCCAGAGUUAGCCAGCAGUGGCAGGUGAGUGGAACUAGACCCUAUGUUUUUAAGUGAAUGUUUUAGCAUGUUCCAUGCAUCAUAAUAUCGUGUUAUAGUAGAGUGUAUUGCAUUAGCAAUCACGAAGAUGAUGCAUUGCAUAUUAUGUUGAUGAUGUGGAUGGACCAAGGCGACCCCAAUAGCCCGUCAGUGUAUGUUUUAGAAGUCUUGAGGAGCCCCCUGAGGGCCGGGCGCAGUGCAUGUUAUAGAAGUCCUGAGGAGCUCCUUUAAGGGCCGGGCACAGAGCAGAGGGAGUUUUGGUGGUCAUGUCCAUCCGAGAUGUGAUUAAUUGUGAUGUGAUGCAUUCCAUGAUGGUAUAUGUUUUUAAUGUUUUUAUAGUUCUGCUCACUGGGCUUUAUAGCUCACCCCAUUCAUUAACCCCCAUGUUUUCAGGGCCUCAGAGAAAGAUCAGAGUCAGCAAGAGUAAAGAGUAAAGUCAGGACUAUGGCUAAGGUUAUGAGUUUGUAAUAGAAG
rnacentral:lncRNA from 1 species